UGCUGUGUUUAGAGAAGACUCCUUAAAUACUUUGCUUUAUUAAUUUCAUUUCCUAGUGCAGGCAUCUCAUUGCUGCUCUGUGUCUGAGACUUUUAUGCCUUUAGUCUGGAAACAACUGUUGCUACGGGACAUCCAUAAUGCCGAGUGCAGCAGUGAUUUGUGCCAGAGCUGCUGAGUGAUUUCAAAUGCGUCCAUGAGGGCAGGACCAACAGGCAUCUCCUCUCGACAGUUGUAAUGAUGGGAAUCUGCCUGCAGGCCCCUGUAAUGCAUUUCUUCUACACUGAGCAUAUCUCAGCAUAGUUGGGUACUUGGCUACUCUGAGCUUCCUUUCUGAAAAUGAAGCCAAUACCACCAGGUAGCAUUGACCUGUGGCACAGUCAGGCUGAAUUUUCCAGCUGGGAGACAUCAGGGCACAUCUAAACUGAGCAACCGAGCAUGGUUUACAUGCCCCUGAGCUGGGCAAUCCAGGCAGAUAAUGCUGGGCUGGAGUGCAACCCAGGGCAGUGGAAGGAUGCCGAGUUUGGGCGCGCAGAAACUGCUACUUCAUUUCCCCAGUGGUUUGCCUCUGUGUUAGCUGUGGCUUUUCUUGUUGAGGAGUUAUAUUGUGUGGAACCACCUCCGCAUCCCUCCAGCAAUGAUGUAGAAAUGUCUUGAAGAUGGUUUGGCAGGCAAAUCCUUCUUUCCUCUUGCUGGGAACCCCACAGGUCUAUUGCAAAGAAAGUUGGUUGGCGGAACUCUCAGCCACCACAACACACGCUCCAGAUAGACAAACCACGUCUGUGUCUAUCCACAGCUCUUUCCACAACUCCUGGAUUCCACUUUUGAAAAAAAUAACAGUUUGGUUCUUCAGUGACAGAGCAGUAUGGUAAAAGUAAUGACCACAUUGCAACAGGCUUCUUCAUCUGCUUAUCUUCAAAGCCGAGUUUUGCUCCAAAGUAUCCAGUGCCGUGGCAUGGAAUAAAGUCUGCUUGGGAAAACUGGGCAAUUGUUGGCUGAAGAAAAGAAAAAUAUCUUUCAGAUAUUUUCUAAUCCAAAAAACAUGGUUCUUAAAUGAGCUUUUUCCAAGCACAUUAGUGCUACAGCCAUUAAUAAUCACAGAAUUCAAAGAAAAAUAAAAUCAGCUGGAAAAGAGUUGAAAGGGAAACCUAUUAAAAUAUAAAAAGCAAUUUCCCAAAAAUAUAUACAGUUUCAUUUCCAAUUUUUUGUUGUUUUUUUGCUGUUACUAAAACUUUCAGUGACCUAAUAGUCCUUUUAAAAGACAGCUGCACAGAAUAAAACUGGGGCAUUUUGUUCUUCUUGCAUUGUUCCUAACAGCGGGACCCAUUCUUCAUUCUCCUGAUUGAAUGUUUCCCAGAGUGUCUAGACAUGUCGCCACCACUGCCGAGGAGCCGAGAGAUACCAGGGCUCAUCCGAGGAGCUGUAAGCACCAGUCAUCUCUCCUUCUACCCCUCAGGAGUCCUAAAAAUAAGCUUUUAUUUGCCUUCUGUGUUGCUAAUUUCUAGGUUACGCUUGGGUCAUACUUUCCACCCCCUCAUUCAGCAGUGGGAAGCUGAGAUUCCCACAGAAGAACAUUGUUUUUUGAGCAGGGUGUUAGAUAGCAGCAUGAAAUACUCCCCAAACCUGGUGACUACAUAGCAGAACUGUGCAGCACGGAUGAGCUUGUACCUCUGCAAGACCCAACUGCUCCCUUUCACUUCAGCUUGUGAGCCUAAGCCAGGUCUGGGACAGCUUUAUCUGCCUUCCAGUAAGCCCCCUGGUGUACAUAUCCAGAUCAAUGCUCCAGAACUUUUCAGCAUUUACCUGACUGAGAUAUUUCACUCCAGUUUCUACAUUUUCACAGGUCAGACAGGUUGCUGAGCAAAACCAGAGUCAGGUCAUUCCAGACCAGAAGCAGAAAGUCAUCAGCAUUAGCUCGGAGCACCCUCCCUUUUCUCCUUGCUGUCUCCCAGAACGUCAGAGCUGAAAAUGUGCUCAAGUAGACAGGCUCUGAAUCUCCAGCCUUUGUGGCACGCCUUUGGCACCUCAUGCCAGAGGAGGACUUUGUUCUCCUCCCACCUCACUACACGUGGUAGCAGCCUCUCCUUGGUGGUGAGAGAAGUGCUGUGGCAAUUCUCAGCUUUGGGCUGUGUCCGUUCAGGAUGAACCAAUGGUCCGGUUCAUCCCCGCAUGCCAAACGAGUGUUAGUGUAGCCAGCGCAAAGCUCAUAGCUCAUCUCCAGUCACACCCUUGGAUCCCAGCAAUUCUAUGUACGAGGGGCAGGAACUGUCUUGCCGACAAUUCAGAAAGGACUUUAGACAAUAGGAGCACUACCCAAAUAAUGAAUAGCAGUGCUAA